GAUGAACGCUGGCGGCGUGCCUAAUACAUGCAAGUCGAACGCUUCACUUCGGUGAAGAGUGGCGAACGGGUGAGUAAUACAUAAGUAACCUGGCAUCUACAGGGGGAUAACUGAUGGAAACGUCAGCUAAGACCGCAUAGGUGUAGGGAUCGCAUGAACUCUAUAUGAAAAGUGCUACGGGACUGGUAGAUGAUGGACUUAUGGCGCAUUAGCUUGUUGGUAGGGUAACGGCCUACCAAGGCGACGAUGCGUAGCCGACCUGAGAGGGUGACCGGCCACACUGGGACUGAGACACGGCCCAGACUCCUACGGGAGGCAGCAGUAGGGAAUUUUCGGCAAUGGGGGAAACCCUGACCGAGCAACGCCGCGUGAAGGAAGAAGUAAUUCGUUAUGUAAACUUCUGUCAUAGAGGAAGAGCGGUGGAUAUAGGGAAUGAUAUCCAAGUGACGGUACUCUAUAAGAAAGCCACGGCUAACUACGUG
rnacentral:rRNA from 1 species